GAUGAACGCUGGCGGCGUGCCUAAUACAUGCAAGUCGAGCGAACGGACGAGAAGCUUGCUUCUCUGAUGUUAGCGGCGGACGGGUGAUUAACACGUGGAUAACCUACCUUUGAGACUGGGACAACUUCGGGAAACCGGAUCUAAUACCGGAUAAUAUUGUGAACCGCAUGGUUCAAAAGUGAAAGCGCGUUUUGCUGUCACUGAUAGGUGGAUGCGCGUUGCAUUAGCUAGUUGGUAAGGUAACGGCUUACCAAGGCAACGAUGCGUAGCCGACCUGAGAGGGUGAUCGGCCACACUGGAACUGAGACACGGUCCAGACUCCUACGGGAGGCAGCAGUAGGGAAUCUUCCGCAAUGGGGGAAAGCCUGACGUAGCAACGCCGCGUGAGUGAUGAAGGUCUUCGGAUCGUAAAACGCUGUUGUUAGGGAAGAACAUAUGUGUAAGUAUCUGUGCGCAUCAUGACGGUACCUAAUCAGAAAGCAACGGCUAACUACGUG
rnacentral:rRNA from 1 species